rnacentral:rRNA from 1 species
CAGCCGCCGCGGGAAAACAGAGGGUGCGAGCGUUAAUCGGAUUUACUGGGCGUAAAGCGUGCGUAGGCGGCUUCUUAAGUCGGAUGUGAAAUCCCUGAGCUUAACUUAGGAAUUGCAUUCGAUACUGGGAAGCUAGAGUAUGGGAGAGGAUGGUAGAAUUCCAGGUGUAGCGGUGAAAUGCGUAGAGAUCUGGAGGAAUACCGAUGGCGAAGGCAGCCAUCUGGCCUAAUACUGACGCUGAGGUACGAAAGCAUGGGGAGCAAACAGGAUUAGAUACCCCAGUAGUCCCUGUCUCUUAUAC